GGGCAUGUAGCUCAGCGGUAGAGCGCCAUCCUUAUAAGAUGGAUGUCCCUGGUUCGAGACCAGGCAUGCCCA
rnacentral:tRNA from 1 species